rnacentral:rRNA from 1 species
GAUGAACGCUGGCGGCGUGCCUAAUACAUGCAAGUCGAGCGAACGGACGAGAAGCUUGCUUUUCUGAUGUUAGCGGCGGACGGGUGAGUAACACGUGGAUAACCUACCUAUAAGACUGGGAUAACUUCGGGAAACCGGAGCUAAUCCCGGAUAAUAUUUUGAACCGCAUGGUUCAAAAGUGAAAGACGGUCUUGCUGUCACUUAUAGAUGGAUCCGCGCUGCAUUAGCUAGUUGGUAAGGUAACGGCUUACCAAGGCAACGAUGCAUAGCCGACCUGAGAGAGUGAUCGGCCACACUGGAACGGAGACGCGGUCCAGACUCCUACGGGAGGCAGCAGUAGGGAAUCUUCCGCAAUGGGCGAAAGCCUGACGGAGCAACGCCGCGUGAGUGAUGAAGGUCUUCGGAUCGUAAAACUCUGUUAUUAGGGAAGAACAUAUGUGUAAGUAACUGUGCACAUCUUGACGGUACCUAAUCAGAAAGCCACGGCUAACUACGUG